rnacentral:lncRNA from 1 species
CUGACCAGAGAACCAAGUUCCUCUCUUGUAUGGAUUGUUUCUGUUAAUUAUCACUCAAAUCUGAACGGUGUGGUAGGACGGAGGGAUACCUUGAAAUCUAAGAAAAGGGGAAAAAAGUGCAAUCGCUACAGUGAUACUUUAGCAGAAGUUUCUAUUGCUAAGUAUUGUGGAGCUCAGAGGAAGAAGUAAAGGCUUCAAGACGUUGAACUUUAAGCUGAGUCUUGAAGGCGGAGUCUUCAAGUUAAAGAAGAGGGGUUAAGGAAAGUCCAGGGAGAAGGAACUGCAUGAGCUGUGAAGAACCAUGAUGCAUUCUUGGAAUUGGUAGCAUUCCCUUUGAAAUAUGGAUUGAAACCCAGGAAGCAUGAAAGAAACAAGAAUUCAAAACUUUAAAUUAAGACAAGACUAUGGUAAAGAGUUUGGCAUUGAACAUUCAGGAAAUGUAACAACUAGAACGAGUAUAAA